UACAGAGGUCUCAAGCGUUGUUCGGAUUCAUUGGGCGUAAAGGGUGCGUAGGCGGCGCGGUAAGUCGGGUGUGAAAUCUCGGGCUUAACUCCGAAACUGCAUUCGAUACUGCCGUGCUUGAGGACUGGAGAGGAGACUGGAAUUUACGGUGUAGCGGUGAAAUGCGUAGAUAUUCGCAAGAACACCAGUGGCGAAGGCGGCUCACUGGCCCGAUACUGACGCUGAGGCACGAAAGCGUGGGGAGCAAACAGG
rnacentral:rRNA from 1 species